UGGAGCAUGUGGUUUAAUUCGAUGCAACGCGAAGAACCUUUACCUGGGCUUGACAUCCCAAGAAUCCCCUGGAAACAGGGGAGUGCCCUUCGGGGAGCUUGGAGACAGGUUGCUGCAUGGCUGUCGUCAGCUCGUGUCGUGAGAUGUUGGGUUAAGUCCCGCAACGAGCGCAACCCUUUGCCUUUAGUUGCCAUCAUUCAGUUUGGGCACUCUAGAGGGACUGCCGGUGUCAAACCGGAGGAAGUGGGAUGACGUCAAGUCCUCAUGGCCUUUAUGCCCAGGGCUACACACGUGCUACAAUGGGCGGUACAAAGAGCAGCGAGCUCGCGAGAGUAAGCAAAUCUCAAAAAGCCGUCCUCAGUUCGGAUUGGAGUCUGCAACUCGACUCCAUGAAGUUGGAAUCGCUAGUAAUCGCGGAUCAGAAUGUCACGGUGAAUACGUUCCCGGGUCUU
rnacentral:rRNA from 1 species